rnacentral:rRNA from 1 species
UGUGUGUUAGUGGAAGCGUCUGGAAAGGCGCGCGAUACAGGGUGACAGCCCCGUACACAAAAAUGCACAUGCUGUGAGCUCGAUGAGUAGGGCGGGACACGUGGUAUCCUGUCUGAAUAUGGGGGGACCAUCCUCCAAGGCUAAAUACUCCUGACUGACCGAUAGUGAACCAGUACCGUGAGGGAAAGGCGAAAAGAACCCCGGCGAGGGGAGUGAAAAAGAACCUGAAACCGUGUACGUACAAGCAGUGGGAGCACGCUUAGGCGUGUGACUGCGUACCUUUUGUAUAAUGGGUCAGCGACUUAUAUUCUGUAGCAAGGUUAACCGAAUAGGGGAGCCGAAGGGAAACCGAGUCUUAACUGGGCGUUAAGUUGCAGGGUAUAGACCCGAAACCCGGUGAUCUAGCCAUGGGCAGGUUGAAGGUUGGGUAACACUAACUGGAGGACCGAACCGACUAAUGUUGAAAAAUUAGCGGAUGACUUGUGGCUGGGGGUGAAAGGCCAAUCAAACCGGGAGAUAGCUGGUUCUCCCCGAAAGCUAUUUAGGUAGCGCCUCGUGAAUUCAUCUCCGGGGGUAGAGCACUGUUUCGGCAAGGGGGUCAUCCCGACUUACCAACCCGAUGCAAACUGCGAAUACCGGAGAAUGUUAUCACGGGAGACACACGGCGGGUGCUAACGUCCGUCGUGAAGAGGGAAACAACCCAGACCGCCAGCUAAGGUCCCAAAGUCAUGGUUAAGUGGGAAACGAUGUGGGAAGGCCCAGACAGCCAGGAUGUUGGCUUAGAAGCAGCCAUCAUUUAAAGAAAGCGUAAUAGCUCACUGGUCGAGUCGGCCUGCGCGGAAGAUGUAACGGGGCUAAACCAUGCACCGAAGCUGCGGCAGCGACGCUGAUGCGUUGUUGGGUAGGGGAGCGUUCUGUAAGCCUGCGAAGGUGUGCUGUGAGGCAUGCUGGAGGUAUCAG